CUAAUACUUUCUCCGUUCGAAAAAGUUUGUCCCUCAAAUGGAUGUAUCUAGCACCAAGUUAGUGCUAAAUACAUCCAUUUGAGGGACGAGCUUGGGACAAGCUUUUUCGGACGGAGAGAAUACCUU
rfam:Triticum urartu cultivar G1812 contig755647, whole genome shotgun sequence.